rnacentral:rRNA from 1 species
UGGGGAAUAUUGCACAAUGGGCGAAAGCCUGAUGCAGCAACGCCGCGUGAGUGAUGAAGGUUUUCGGAUUGUAAAGCUCUGUCAUAUGGGACGAUAGUGACGGUACCAUAUGAGGAAGCCACGGCUAACUACGUGCCAGCAGCCGCGGUAAUACGUAGGUGGCAAGCGUUGUCCGGAAUUACUGGGCGUAAAGGGUGCGCAGGCGGACAUUUAAGUGAGAUGUGAAAGACCCGGGCUUAACUUGGGCAGGGCAUUUCAAACUGGGUGUCUUGAGUGCAGGAGAGGAGAACGGAAUUCCUAGUGUAGCGGUGAAAUGCGUAGAGAUUAGGAAGAACACCAGUGGCGAAGGCGGUUCUCUGGACUGUAACUGACGCUGAGGCACGAAAGCGUGGGUAGCAAACAGG